rnacentral:lncRNA from 1 species
UUGAUUGCAGAGUGUUUACAAAGAUUGGCUGUGCGGGUUAUCCUUUGAUUUCUACCAUAAAGGACGACUCAUCAAGCCGUGUUUGGACUUUUGUUACAUAACCUCAAGGAAAUGCCCCUUUUUGUUACCAGCAGUACACUACUGUGGGAUGCAGAGUUACUUCUGCCCGCAGUAUCGGGACCUUAAAAUGAAUGAAAAUUCUACAUAUGCCCACGAAGCACCGUGUUUUCAGUGUUCCUACAACACAAACUAUAAAUUUGGCACACAGUGCGAAGAAAUACUGACCAAUCAAACGGAUCCAAGGGGCACGGCCAGCUCAACCAAAGCAUCUGUAACAAGCCUCCUGAUUGGACAAUUAGCCGUGCUGUGGAUUUGGAGAACACUGUUUGACCUCCCGCCGGGAUUUGCAUAGGAGGAGGAGGAGGCCCCGCCCCCUUUGUGGCAGGUGCCAGCGAACCUCAAUUUCUUUUGUUGGUGUGAUUGACAUGUCCGAGUUGGAUGUUGUAUCUGGGAGGCAUCCUCGUCCACUGUCCAUCAUGUGCAGGUAGCGUUACCAUGGCGACCUGCUCAUCUGCGGGCUUUUGGAAACGUCAGAUGCUUUGUAUCGUCUUUGGUUGCUUUUUUUACAUUCGCCUGCAUUAUUUGUAUCAUUUAAUCGGCAUGACUUGGUAGUUUGUUAAUUAGCCGGCCUCUCAAGGCUUAGCUUAUGGAUAAAUAAGACGAGAUUUUUCAACAAUUACAUUUUGGCACUAUAAGCAAUGAUCCAUUAUACGUGACCCAUCCUGAUCCAAAUGUGAAGUCCAAUCUAAAGCAAGAUAAACAGAGCUGAAUCUUUGGUCAAAUCAACUAGGUUUUUCUUUCUUUCAAGUUGACAAGAAACACCUUAAAAAAAAAGAGUAUUUUAUGAAGUCACUUCAAAGACUGUACAUUCUGAAUUCAUACUCUGUCGUUUACACAAACGAGUAAAUGAUUUCAGCAUUACGUCGUAUACAGAACAAGAUCAACUGGCAAACACCACAUUGUAAAUCUGUCGCCCUAUUCGUCCACGAUUCCUCCACAUCCGAAUUGUUUAAAACGGCAGGUUUUUUUUUUUUUUUCCCUUCCCUGACAUCAUUUUGCCUGAAGUGUUUGUUGGUGAUGAGGCUCAAGAAUGUAUCAAUCGACCCGGGUCUUAUUAUGCAGAAAGAAGAAAGCCGUCCCUGCGCCCAAUAACGCGAUGUCGAAAGGCAAUCCGUAGACAUCUCAUUAUCCGUCCCUUCCCUCUUGAUUAUUUGCACACAGUCAACUUAUGACCUCAACUCACUCCCCCCCCCCCCAACUCACUUGCGCGCAUACUGAAUUCCUGUAUAUCAAUAAGGCGUUUUAAUAUGGGUGGAUUCGGACGUGAAUGCUGCUCGACUAGUCUGGGAUCAUUGUCGUAGAAUGGUUCAUUAUGUUCAACAGAACGGUGCCAAACAAAAAAGGAGAUGCGCUGUACUUGAUUCAGUUUUCUUUCAUUUGGGAGAAAAUUGGUGAAAAAAAAUUCGGGUUUGGCUGGGAUUUGUCAAGCCAAAGUUAUUUGGAUCUUGGGGUAUAUACAUGUAUGUGCAUGCAAAUUCUGGAUAGGUCUCAAAAAUUAAUUCGCAGUAAAAGGGAAAAAAAGAGAAAACAUACAAAUUUUGAUAGGCCGACCUCUUUUGCAAAUAAAGUAAAAGCAAAGGGAAAAACAUUGAAUACAAUUUUUUUAAAACAUGCAAAGUCAAAGAAAAUGUUGGUGGAUCUCAGAAGAGGUCAGAUGCACUUUAUUGGAAUUCUGUUUAUCUUGCUUACGUCUCUGGCUUCACAUGACUCAAAAUGUUGGAGACUACCUUGUCCGUGAUUGGUCAGUUCAUGUUCUGAGGUUGAUGGACCAUUUUUUGAAAAAUUGAAAAUAAAAGAAGGAUAAAAGUGUUGAAUGUAGGUUGGUUUUUUUUAUAAACAAUAUGCUUCUUGUUGACUAUAGAAUAUAUUAAUUCAUGAAUUGUUCUGGAUUUUUUUUUUUUUGUAAACUGGAGUAAAAUUUGGUAGUUUUUUUUAAAAUACCAAUGGGAAGAUAAAAUUUGAAUACUGGCGCAUGAGUUAAAUUAUUCAAAACAGAACAUUCAGUUGUCAGUGGUUAUAAGGUUAGCAGUGGUAAAAAAAAAAAAAAGAUAAGAAAUGCAGAAUAUAAUAUUACUACAAGACACCCCAAUAUUCAGUACUCCUAAAAAGGUUUUAAAAACAUCUUGAGUGAGUACAGGAAACUGGACAGGUAUUUCUUAUUUCUGCGAUACCUUCCUAAGACGUCACUACUCAUGAAUUAAAGCUCACGAUGAGACUGAAUUCACGCUGGGCCCGUAGCUUAACCACAUGACCAGGAUUCCCAGAAUCCCUUGCAGUUAUGUGACCUUUAGAACAUCAAUCAACAUUCGUCAGUCCACAGCGCCAGACGCAAGCUCAAAACCACGCUAUGACAGUACUACUCCCCAUCGCUACCAACACACACAAAAAAUAUGGGUCGAUCUUUUCUUCUUUUUUUAAUUCAUAAAUUUGAAGCCGUAUCUAAUCAUAUAUAUUACUGAGAUCACGUAGUGCAUAUGUCGCUUUUAUAUAUUUAUUUGUAAUAGUAAGUCAAUUUAUUUGGUUUUAAUUUUCCACGAGCAUGUUGAUACUAUUGUUAUAAAUCGGCUUGUAGAUCAUGUUUGAUGUAUUUUUUAAAACGGGGGACGGAAAUUUAAACUGUAAGUUAACGUAAAAACGUAUCCGGUAAUAUUUUUUUUGCUACGUAAGUAUUUAUUUUUCUUCUGUGAAACAGAUGAGAUGGAGUAUCAGUGGAAUGCUAGUGGUGAGACGAGUCGGGUAUUUUGGCUGUCGCAUACACGUUUGUUAUACUCACACAGGUACUAUAUAGAGGACUAUAUGGGAAGUAUUCAUAUAGAUAUAUUAUAAUAUUGUUACACAUGAUAGUCGCAUACUCUAGAUCAGGCAAGAUAGCGUGGUAUGGUUGGCUUGGAGUCGGCAAAUGCGGAACAGUAAAAAAUUUAACGCAGAAAUUUUAUUUUAAUACUACUCCACUAUCUAAUAACUUUUUACAUAAAUACAUAUACAAUGUAUUAAUAGUGACCACACCAGGCUGAGGUGAAAUGCAUUGAAAUACACACGGAAAACUCUUCAGGUUGGCGUAGCGGUACUUUCCUCGCCUUCCACUGCUGUGGCCCGGGUUCGAAUCCCGCCUGGGCCAACAUGUGCAUUGGGUUUUCAGUCCCUACCUGUAUCCGUGGGUUUUUCCCGCAACAUUCUUCAGGGUUUUUCCACCCACCUCUAAAACUGUAAUUUCUUCUCAUUGUCUCCUCUCCACAAGUUUCGUAGGCUUGCGAGCUACAGUACCUAGGGCACUUUUGAGGAAUCCUUGGUUUCAUAACCAGAAAUAAUAUAAUAAUAAAUAAUUACAGUAAUGUACAGUAAUUAGUUUUUUUUUCAUAGAUGCACAAAAACCGCUAUUCUUCUUUAUCACAUUCACAUGUGACAGAAUAGUUUCUGAUGCAAUGAAAUGUCUUUGUUUUUCUGUCGCUCCCCAUAUAAGGGUAUUUCACAUUGCGUUAGACUUGAAACUCAAACAGAUGACUUGAAUGCUAAAAAUAAUGAAUGCAGAGGAGCAUAUCAAUAUACUUCUUCAGAUCUUUUCAAAUGACUUGAGUAUGGGCUCCGUGCACAAGUACCCCCUCAACGGCCAGAAAAGGAGAGUUGGGGGAGACCUACACUGGUUCCCGGCCCAUCCACUGCUCAUUUUGAAUGAUCCAAAGUUAUUUGGGCAGGGAUUAGUCUGGGAGACUAUCGAAAGAUCAAUUCGAACGCAUUCAAGCCUGACGCUCACGCGAAGACGCUGUGGCUAAUAGCUUUGGCACAUUCAGGUAGUCGUGCGUACAUCGUGCGCUAACCAGUACGUUACGCACACGCCAUGUGUCCUGUCCACGGGGUUCUCAAAAGUGUUUAAAAAAGCGCCCUCUUUUGUUGGCGCCCGGAGCCCAUUGUAAGCUGGGCUUCGGUUACGAUUGUUCCUCUCUGUAAAGAUAUUCAGAAAUCACAGAACAUCAAGACAACUUCUGAAAAGCUGUUUUAUUUUAACAUAUUUGAAGUAGGUACUAAAAAAACUAUCGGUUUACUAAAAAAAAAUCAAACCAGACAAUCAACCAAUCACAAAGGACGAUGCAGUUUGCCGACUCCAAAUCGGACCAAUCAGAAUGGCUGUUAUAUAGACCCUGAUACCUAGGUUGUAAAUGCCAUCUCCCUGUAUAUGAUGCUGGACACAGUAAUGAACAAAACAAAAAAAUUGUUAAGUAUUUGGUGUGGGGGUGGUCUGAUACCCAGUGCUGUGCACUGGGACGCUUGCACCCUUGACGUAGCCACCCACCCCGUACCCUCAUUGUGCGAGACGUCGUCGUUUGUAUAUACAUAUUAUUAUCCCCAUGUAGACACGAUUGGAAUAACUUGUGACUUUGUAUGCAGAACAAGGAUUUAUCUUUAAAAAAAAAAAAAAAGGGAAGAAAAUAGCCCACAGAAUCAAGAGUCAUAAAUUAAAAAAAAGAAAAAUCAGGUAAUUGUAGAUUUGAAAUAUUGUUUCCCUAAUACCGUGUUUAAAUAAGGGUUAUUUUAGUUUGAAAAGGUUAAAACAUUGUGGGAAACAUGGCAGGAUUUAAUUUUUUUUUUUUUUCACUGAGUGUGUAUACACGGGUUGAUUUUCUAGAAUAAAUUAUGAUUAUUCUCUGAAGCCAUUGCAACAUGGACAUUUUCAAACUCACGAGGGCGCCAUGUUCAAGGCAAGUAUUGUGGGGGAAACAUUUCAGGAACAAAUGUGUUUUUUUAUUUUAAAAUAAAAAAAUUUAAAAAAUUGAAUAAAGUUUCACCUCAUACAGCUGCCCCAAAAUUUUGAGCUUUUCUUUAUAACUUUAUUUUCAGGAAAAAAACCACUUUGCUGAUACAGUUAUAAAUCCCCUUAUUGUAUGUGUCUUUUUUGAUUCAUUGAAUAUUUGUAACGUAAGUUUUAUACUAUGUAAGUUACAUUUUCUGAUUGUAAACGUGUCAUUUAAGUUCCAUUUAAUUGUGUUUUGUUGCCAAUUUUUCUGAAAAAGAGCCUCUUUAUCUCGCAUUGUAAAUAUUUUAGAAACAAAUAGAGCUCAUUUUAAAAUGUAAAAAAAAAAAAAACACCAAAAAAAUACCCCCACAAGUAGUUGUCAUUUUAAAAAGAAAUUUAAAAAAAAAAAAAAAAUUAAAAAAAAUAAAAAUAAGAAAAAAAUAAUAAAAAUCAUGUCUUUUAGCAGAAUGGUGGUUCUCUGUACCCCAUAGUACCAGGUAAAUGUUCAUUUAUUUAGAAAAGAAAGGCAUUAUUCAAAUUUCACUUCAUGCAAAUUGAUCAAAACAACGUUCAAAUGAUCAUUUCUUACAUUUAGCACAUAAAAAAAAUCAUUCGUAUAAAUAUUCUGUCAUCCAGAAGAAUGAGUCCCAUUCUAAUUCAUUUUACUUAUUCAUUCAUGUGUAACAUUCAUUAUUUAAGAUGAUUUUUUUGUCGGCAAUGCCAAAAAAAAAUAAUAUCGGUGCAUUUGCAACUAUAAGAGAAAAAAAAAAGAUAGAAAAAAAAGCUUAUAAAAGUAAUAAGAAAACAAUUUAAUGUUACGGAAUAUUUAUUGAUAUUAUUUAUUUAUGGCAAAGGAUCUAGACUAUGUGCAUUAAAGACUAUUGUAAAUCAUGUUGUCACUUUAUUUAUCAGUAUUUGAUGGCUGUGAAAAACUGUGUCAUCUUUGGAUCUUUUUGACACAGGCAGGAUAUUUGUACAAACCAUAGACGCCCUGUUUAUAUGAUGUAGUAUUUUGGGGGCCGUCGUCACAGCCUGGAAAAAAAAAAGAUGGAGAAUCCAAGAUAUUAUCGUAGCCACAAAAAAGUUUUUGGGUAUAUGACUGUGUUAGCAUCGUAGGCUGUUUUCUCUCACUGGUUUUUAUGUUGUAGAUAUAUGUGAUAAUUAUGGAAAACAGACCGCUGCGAACGAGUGACUUCUACAGACAAGUACCAACCAGAAGAACUACCUCCAAGCUUUUAUCUAAACCUAUCUUUUUAAGUUUGCAUCAGUACCCCCCCAAGUGACGAUCUUCUUCGGGAACUCAAGGAGGGAGAGGUCUCUCUCGCACCGUAUUGAGAAACUUGGACAACCUCCAGCAGUUAGGAGUUACUACAAGGAAACAAACGCCCCCUACGUGCGUCCACGAAGCAGGACCGAUCUGAGACGGAUGUUUUCAUCUGGAGUGAAGACGCGAGACGCACCAAUCGACGAGUGCAUGACCUUAACAAAACAAGGGCUUCAGAGCUGGAUUUGAAAUGGCUGUCCAAUCUGAGGCUGCAUCCGAAUCAGUUAUCUAGAGCUAGGUCUAGGUCCGGCGCCCAUUGAAAAGACGCGGGGACGCGCCGACAAUAGACGUAGCCGUAGCUCUGGAAGCCUGUUUCGAACACGGCCUGAGACUCUGGUGUGUGAAAUUAGCGUAACAGCAAGGAGCAAGUUUGUGGGAGGACCAUUAGUUGACCAGUGGUUCAUUUGUGACGUAACUUACGCCUGCGCACUUAUAGCAACGCGAAUGUCUCCAGUCAAAAGAUGGUCAAAGGUCCUGGCUCCCCGUUGUGCUUUAUGAUGCGCACAGCUAUUUGUAACCAGCGAGGCCACCAUGCCCAUGCUCUGGUUCCAAAUAGUCAAUUCCAAGGAGUCGACCAUCUUCAGUUCGAGUGAAGUGAGUUGAACUGUGGUUAACUAUAGUUCGCGCCCGAACUUGCUCAAGUGUACUCAAAAUUUGUGAUCCGUCAAAAUGUUGAUCUGGAUCAACAUUUUGACCCGGGUCAAAAGGUUGUCCCAUUUUUGACUCGAGUUAACCUGGGUCAAAAUUUUGACCUCGGUUAAAAUAUUGAUCAGACACAAAGAGGUCAAUCUCGGUCAAGGUUCAUGAACUGGUACAAAAUUUUGACCCAGGUCAGUAUACUCACCCGAGUCAUAAUAUUGACCCAAGUUAGUAUAAGGAAGUCAAGAAGUUUGUCAAAUGAAGGUUUCUGAAAUCACCUAUCGUCAAUAGGUGACAAAAGCAUUUUUGUAGAUCGCUCUAAGGUUCCUUGUAUCGAAUUCAAAUUUCCUAAGAAGAUUUUCGAGUUCAUGAAUGACCCCUUGUACAUCACUCGGGACGGAUCGGUGAAAAAAAAAGAGACAACUCACAAAUUUUCUUCUAUUUUUUUGAAUGUUGACAAAAACAAAUCACGCAGCCAUUUUCUGUAGUGCAAUCACGCCUUUAUAUAAAUAGUCGGCACACGGUGAACGAUGUUUAUUUCUGAGUUUUCACUGCACGACCAGUCUAUAGUAUUGUGAAUAUUGUAUAUGUAUUUAUAAAAGUCAAGAUCUGUGAAUAAAGAGCACGUGUUACAGUUUAUUUCAAUAGCGUAUUUUGCAUCUAGUCGGUAUGCAUCAAACAGAUUCUCUUGACCGUACUGGUAUGAGUUAUUUGUAAACUUUAAGAACUUAUGAAAGACUUGUGGUACAUUUUUUUUGUUCUUUGGGUUGAUUUGUUGUUUUCCAUGCAACAUAAAAUUUAUCUUGCGUUGACUACUACUGACUUGAUAUGAUUUGUUUUUUGACGUCUUCCUUGUUUAACCCCCAUUGUCUUGGACAUGACCACGAGGAUCGUGUGAAAUAAAAAAAAACAAAUGUUACUUAAUAUUCGACAGAA